CGAAACGAGCGUAGCUUCCUUGUCGUGUGGCCUCAGUCCUUCGCCGUCCCUCGCCGUCCUUCGCCAUCGCACGCCACCGCACCCCAUCUCUCGAAAUCUGCAGACAUCUUGAUUUUUCCCACGCUGUCUGUCAGGUCUCCGCCGCCACUCGACGCCAGGGCGCCGGGCCUUGUGGGCUGUGCUGCACCUCGGACGGCUUCGCACCAGCCAGCGCCCUCUCUCUCCUGCAGCACUCUGAUCUGCACCCCCUGAGGGGCUUCCACUGUCCGCGGGGUGAGAAUGCCCCUGGGAGUGUCACAUGACUGCCGCCCCAUGUGUGUGAGAGGCGUCCUCUGGGAGAGCAUGGAUCCUGAGGUCCCAGACUUUCAGGAAAACAGGUGCCUGUGCCACAUUAUUUGCACGGAGAGACUGUGUCCAGUGAACGGUUCUGAUCAGUAAACUGUUGACUAGGAACAUCCCGAGAGCCAAGUUCCCAGAUGCCAGCCAAGGGCCAUCUGACCUGUUUUGAAUCUCAAUUUCCUGAUACAGAAAACAAAGGAUUGUCAGCUGACCUCUGUCCUGUGUGCCCAGUGGCCCCAGGUGACGUGUCUUCAAGAAGAGGCUGAGCUGCGGUGCUUGUAAGAGUCAUGUGCUGUUCCUGGGGCUUGGAUGAUGUAGGGGAAGCAAGGUGAAAGUGGUAUCCCGUGGUUCCACGUUCUGUCCUGCUGUGGGGCUGUCCCUCACAUGCUUUCAGUGGCUGUUGCAGAGGAAGAGCCUCCGGAAAUCUGCGUGGGUCUCAGCCUUAGAUCCAAGGACAGUCCAAGGAAGUCCUAAGACCAUGGAGUUGGUGAUCUGGGAUCUGGGUUUGCUGAUAUUUCUCACCGUGAAUCUCUUGGUGGUGUUUGUGGGCACGAGAGGGGCAGAGAAUGGAGAGUGAGGCUACCACAUGAAGCGUCACCAGAGCUGCUCCCUGCUGCCUGCUCAGAGCACCCCGGAUCCACUGUUCAAUCUGCACAAGAUUCGGGGUCCAGACAUGGGAGACUUCAGCUGCCUCAGAGGACCGUGGACAGGGAAGGCCAGCCUCGCAUCCCUCUGUCCAUGCCUGGAAUGACUUUAAUAACCAAGAGUUUUAUUUUUGAAUUUGUAGCUGUCGUUCACUUUUUACCCACCCAUUCAAUAAACCUUACAGAAUUGC
rnacentral:lncRNA from 1 species